AGACGGUACGACCAAAGUCUAGCAGAGUGGUGGCAUGCACGGUUGUUUGAAAGCAAAGAGCACAAAAAUACGAAAUCGACCGAAAUUCUCGCCUGACACCCAAGUUGUACGUGUAGUACCAUUCAGGAAGAAUGGGAGAAGUUUGCUUCAACCAAAAUCAACACUUUGACUGUGAGUGCAGCAGACCUCUCAGUGACUUUGCAUCUCUUCCCCAAAAACUCUCUUGGACAGUACCUGUAGGACCAACUCCAACUCCAGCUCUACCCACAAGUACAUGUAUAUCAGCGGGAUGUAUUUUUGGAUAUAUUUUUGGAAGUAUAGUUUUGCUUGGAUGUAUAGCUCUGAUUGCUUUAAUUAUUGUGUACUGUUCUUCCAAAGACUAUAGGGAAAAUUUUCAGAGUCGGUUGGAGGGAAGUUGCUGUGGAGAACAUAUCUUAUGGCUUUUGAAUUCUAUCUCAAGGUUUGUAGGGGCUUUUUAUAUAAUAUUGGCUGGCCUUGAGGGGAAUUUAAAAUAUAUUGCCCACAACAGCAUCACAUUGGCAGGAAUUUAAGACGAGGGCAAUAUGGUUCUUAUAACUAAUUAGUGCAAUAUAUUUGAUGUUCCCUGAAAGAAGAGCCAGUCGGUAUUUUUAUUUUAAAAUCUAAAUCAGAAAUUUACAGCAAAAUCAUGAAAACUGAGAUACUUUACCUUUUAAGAAUAUGUAUGAUUGAAAUGCGCAAUGUUUAUGUAACCUAUAUGCUAAUGUUUAGUUUACCUCUGAGCAUUACUAUUGUGACAUAAUUAUAAGGUCCCAGGGAUACUUAUCCAGCGCUGUUAACCUUAUGACAUUCAUUGGGUGAUUUCAAGUACGGUGUUCGGUGUUGGUGUUGAGAGCGUGAAAAGGCUGCUAAACCGAGCCCCAACACCGAGCUGAGUUCAGAGGAGCGAUACCGAUCGCGUUAUCGAUAUCCUAUGACGUCACGCAUCUGUGCUGCGCCGCUGAUCAUCUCAACUUUACGCGAGAAAUUCUCGAUGACGAAAGUGAAAUCGGGAAGAAAUUGCAGUAAAAUCUUAUCGUAUAGAAUGCACAGGUUAAAAUCACUGCAAUAAUCAGAAAGCAUAAAUAGGAUUUUUCAUUAAAACGUGUAAAACUCUAAUGAUUUGCGCUCAUCUUAACUGUAAUAGAUAAUUUUACGGGGGUGUUUCAUCGUGUUCGCCUCCUGUUUGUGAACUACAGUUCAUCAACACAGAACUUGAAAUCAUGAUUUCCCCAAUCCCUGGGGGUUGGUGUUGGUGAAUAGGGAAAUUGCGCGUAGAUCGUCAACACCAGCUGUAAUGCUCGGUUCAGCAGACGACAUUCAACACCAGAGCUCAACACAAACUGCCAGAAAUACGUCAUAUUUUCCGAGGUCAAUCACAACACCAGCGUGAUUUCAAGUACGGUGUUGUAGCUGGUGUUGGUGUUGUCCAAACACCAACACCAACACCAGAUUUCAACACCGUACUUGAAAUCACCCAUUGUUACUACGCAAAUCUAUAUGACGCACAUCUCUUCCCGUGCGCCCUCAGAUGCCUGGAUGCGAGACCAUGGAAAAUACAAAGAUAUAUUUCGCAUCAUCUCUGCAUGCAAAGUCAAUACGCGCUGAAAAGCCUUGCAAAAUACGAAGAAAAAAGGAAAGAUAAAAGAUGUUAAAGGAAAUGAUAACAGAUGUAGAAGGAAAUUCAGCAAUGAAUGUUCGAAUAAAUCUGUCAUCGACUUUUUUUACUUGUUGAUGUAAAAUAUGCUAGAUUGAAAGUCUUCUUUGAAGAAGAUAAAGAAAUUGUCUACUCAAUUGAAAAAAAUAGAGAGUUUAAAUUUCAUAAAAAUCAGAUGAAAUAUUUGCAUGCCUCAGUGACAUGUAAAUGAGAGAGUUGAUGAUGUCCCUCUGACUACUUCUAUCGCUUAAGGUAAACAAUAUUUCAGUUUUUACAGAUUUGACAGUAAGGAGCAACUUCAAUGAACCAUCAAAUGUUAGAAUAAUGGUAAUACCACAUGUUCAGGGAGGAAUAAAACUUUUGUUUCACAGGACAAUGAGGAAGAUUGUCCGAAAGAAAGAUAUAGUGAUGGAUGAGUCAUCAAUCCCCUCAUUUGCAUAAUGACUAAGAUGUGCAGAUAACUAUUUAGAUAAAUUAAAGGUCAAGUCUACCCCAGGAAAUUGUUGAUUUGAAUAAAUAGAUAAAAAUCAAACUAGUAUAAUGCUGAAAAUUUCAUCGAAAUCGGAUGUAAAAUAAGAAAGUUAUGACAUUUUAAAGUUUCGCUUAUUUUUCACAAAACAAUGGUUUCCACAACUCAGGGACAUGCAAAUUAGACAGUCAAUGAUGUCUCUCACUCACUAUUUUGUUUUUUAUUGUUUGAAUUAUACCAUAUUUCAUUUUAUAUGCCGUCCUAUGGGAGGUAUUAUGGUAUCACACUAGGUGUCUUUCUGUCUGUCUGUCCUUCUGUUCGAUAACUUCAGUUUAAACCUAGGCUCAUAUAAUUUGGUGUGUAUGAUACUAGCAUGGAUCCCAGUAAGCCUAUUAAUUUUGAGUUCAAAGGUCAAGGUCACAGUGACAUGUUUUUAUUUUGCCCUUCUGAAGUCCUUGUUAAUGUGAUAACUUUAGUUUAACUUAAGCUAGGCUCAUAUUCUUGUUUACAGAUUUGACAAUAAAGACCGACUUGACUGAACCAUAUAGUAUUAAACAAAGCUAAUGUUCAGGGAGGAAGUAAUCGCCAUUUCACUUGGCAAUGAGAAAAUUAGAAUAUAUCAUAUUUCAUAUAAUAAAAUACAAAAGGAAUAGUGGAUUGGAUCGUUGACGAAAAGGAACAAUUACAGGUGGCAAAUUCCGCUUGGGAUUGUAUAAGUAUACAACGGUCAACUGAGCUGGCCUCCGAAGAACCGAUGUAACUGUGUUUAUUCAAUCUAUGGAGUUAAAAGAAAAAGAGGGAAAAACAUCCUCAGUUUCAAGACCAUAAAUGUAUCACUGAAUGUUACGUGGUUUACAGAACUUCCUAAAUUGUCAUGAGCCAAAUGCAUAUUUGACUUUACAGUCUGAAUCAAAUUGUUUAUAAAAGAUCUGAAGUCUUUGCUUUUACUUUCAUGAUGUCAUGUUUGCAUUAAUUACUUGACAAAUAAAUUGAAUAUUGCUGGUAAAAAUAAUCCUGUAUGUCUGAACAGGUGUCUUCCUUGUUUAACUUGUUUCAGUUAGAGUUUUAGUUAAAUUUCUCAAUCUGAGAACUCCAAAUAUCCUACUUGUGACAUCAUGAGUAAACAAACACCUCAAAUAUAACAAUGGUUAACAUUGAAUCUCAAAUACCUACCGUAAACACGAGCCAACUGGCAUCAAUUAUUCAUAGUCAAAAAUGACUGAAGCAAUUACAAAAAUGAUGCAUAUUUGUUGCAUUCAAAAUCUGCCAAAGACAAAUCUAAACGUCUGAAAGAAGACUAAUAUUUGCAUUUUCUUAUCUGUGCAGUUUGCACUUAUAAAAACAAAACAUUAUAAUGCUUGGUGCAUAAUUUAUCCUUUUUCUGACAUAAUUCUGUUUUUCCUAAAUUUGGAAAUCCUUUACAUUCACAAAACCUUACUUUUGGUUUUAACAAUAUCUGUUAUUAAAAAAUCAACUAAUUCAAAAAGUGUAUUUCUCACAAAUUCUAAACCUAGAUAUUGAGCAAGAACACACAUGUGUUAUCUUCAAUAUUAAUAUCGACUCUUGCUUUUAAACUGUAAUCUCACUAUUUUUACGAAGCAUGGGAAUUUUGUUUGUUAUUCUCAUGCAUACUCUUCAUCUAACACAAUGCCUGAAAAUGUUCAUCUCAUUUUCUGUUUAAAAACAAAUUACUUCUUGGGCUUAUGUCUGUUUAUAAUUUACAGACUAGUUUAAAACAAAUACAUUAUCUUGCUUCUGUUUAUCAUUUUACAUGUAUCAUAACCCUUAGUUUAUAAACUAAAUGUGCAGAUUCAGAAUAGAAAGUGUAUCUUAUAACUUUUUGACUUUCAAUCUUUUAAUCUUUUUUGUCUUUUGCCAUUACCGCACUAAAAGAAAAUACAAGCAUUGAACCUAGCCGCUUGCAAUGGGCGCUUUAAACAUGCGUUAAAACUUUCACUUGACUCGAACACUUUCCGUUCCAAAUUUUCACAUUUGUACAUUACAUAAAUGGAUCUUGUUUAACUCAUACUUUACUCACUUUCUUGGCGGAAAGUACCAAUAACUCGAAAAGUCAGAAAUGAAACCUCACGGUCUCAUUUUCCUAAAAAACUACAGCGAAACAGCUCCAAACAUGCUCGCUGCACAUGUAGAUAACUGCCUAAUUUUAACAGGCCAAUUUUGCAGUCAACGUAAAUUUCUAAGGUGUCUUCAAAUUAUGCCUUCUGAACUAAACC